rnacentral:rRNA from 1 species
AACGAACGCUGGCGGCAUGCCUAACACAUGCAAGUCGAACGAGACCUUCGGGUCUAGUGGCGCACGGGUGCGUAACGCGUGGGAACCUGCCCUUAGGUUCGGAAUAACUCCCCGAAAGGGGUGCUAAUACCGGAUAAUGUCUUCGGACCAAAGAUUUAUCGCCUUUGGAUGGGCCCGCGUUGGAUUAGCUAGUUGGUAGGGUAAAAGCCUACCAAGGCGACGAUCCAUAGCUGGUCUGAGAGGAUGAUCAGCCACACUGGGACUGAGACACGGCCCAGACUCCUACGGGAGGCAGCAGUGGGGAAUAUUGGACAAUGGGCGAAAGCCUGAUCCAGCAAUGCCGCGUGAGUGAUGAAAGCCUUAGGGUUGUAAAGCUCUUUUACCCGGGAUGAUAAUGACAGUACCGGGAGAAUAAGCCCCGGCUAACUCCGUG